rnacentral:rRNA from 1 species
UUCCGGUUGAUCCUGCCGGACCUGACUGCUAUCGGAUUGAUACUAAGCCAUGCGAGUCUUUGUAGUAAUACAAGGCAGACGGCUCAGUAACACGUAGUCAACCUACCCUAUGGACGAGAAUAAUCUCGGGAAACUGAGGAUAAUACUCGAUAGAUCAUAAUGCCUGGAAUGGUUUAUGGUUAAAAUGAUUCGUCGCCAUAGGAUGGGACUGCGGCCUAUCAGCUUGUUGGUGAGGUAAUGGCCCACCAAGGCGAUUACAGGUACGGGCUCUGAGAGGAGAAGCCCGGAGAUGGGUACUGAGACAAGGACCCAGGCCCUAUGGGGCGCAGCAGGCGAGAAAACUUUGCAAUGUGCGAAAGCACGACAAGGUUAAUCCGAGUGAUUUCUGCUAAAGAAAUCUUUUACCAGUCAUAAAACCACUGGUGAAUAAGGGGUGGGCAAGUUCUGGUGUCAGCCGCCGCGGUAAAACCAGCACCUCAAGUGGUCAGGAUGAUUAUUGGGCCUAAAGCAUCCGUAGCCUGCUUUGUUAGUUUUCGGUUAAAUCCAUGUGCUCAACGCAUGGGCCGCCGAAAAUACUGCACAGCUAGGGAGUGGGAGAGGUAGACGGUACUCGGUAGGAAGGGGUAAAAUCCUUUGAUCUAUCGAUGACCACCUGUGGCGAAGGCGGUCUACCAGAACACGUUCGACGGUGAGGGAUGAAAGCUGGGGGAGCAAACCGGAUUAGAUACCCGGGUAGUCCCAGCUGUAAACGAUGCAGACUCGAUGAUGCAUUGGCAUAUAGCCAGUGCAGUGUCGCAGGGAAGCCGUUAAGUCUGCCGCCUGGGAAGUACGUACGCAAGUAUGAAACUUAAAGGAAUUGGCGGGGGAGCACUACAAGGGGUGAAGCCUGCGGUUCAAUUGGAUUCAACGCCGGA